rnacentral:tRNA from 4 species
CAAAGGGUAGUUUAAAUAAAAUAAUAAUUUUGGGGAUUAUUGAUAAGGUAGUAACUUUUCCUUUGA